GAGCGUCACGUGAUCUGAAACGAUAAUUAUUCUCUCUUAACAUUUGCAUUUUUUGUGUUCAAGUGUAAUGACUUUUCUAACAGUACUAGAACAAUGGCUCCCAUCAAGAAAAAGGUUGAAAAGAAAGGCGGUAAGAAGAAGAAGAAGGGUUGCAGUAAACAUGAAUUUGCAGAUUUGCAGCUGUUAUGAGACGUCUCUGUGCCCGUUCUCAAAACAGUGUGUCAGGGCAGUUCGACUCCUAAAGGACGAAGCUUCAUUUCUACUUCCACUAAGAGACAAACUGCUGGACACCUCAGCUGUGUAAGAACAAGUUUAAUUUAUGGACGUUUGUAUGUUAAUAGCCGCAGCCCUAGAAUUAAUUAAACAUGCUGUAUAAUUACCUAAUUAGUUAGCUCAAUAAUGGUGAGGAACAGUAAAUAGUAGUCAUACAAUAAUAAUAAAAAAAUGUUUAAGUCUGAAAGACUCCUUUUAAGGAGGUGAGCAGAAUCACAUGAACACUUACAUCUUUUUUAAAAAAUGUAUACUAUUACUACAUCAGCAGAAUGGAUAUACUGGCUUCUGUGUCUCUGUAUUACCCUUGCUUAUUUCCUCAGGCUUCUUAAUGUCAUAUUAUACCACAACAUUCUUUAGGUGGACCUGCAAUGUGAGGCCUAUCAAACAGAAAAUAUAUCACUCCCCCUCUGUCCUUGCUGUAAGAGACCCACCAGCACACUCUUCUUAGCUCUGGUUACAGUCCUCCUCGUUUUGUAUCCCAACCUUAGCAGGGUGAUGGAGGACGGAAACAACUAUUGAAACUUCACCUGUAUGUCCAUCCAGUUUACAAAGCAGAUAUAAAAAUAAAUUUAACAGGAAAUGUGUGCUCGCUAAACCUGACUGGUGGUGCCCAUUUAUAGCCAUGGGGUUGUUUUGGGAUGGCCCAGAGGUUUUGCCCCUAUUUGAGCAUGUUGCAUAUACCGUGCUGGAUAGUGACUCUCAUGGCCCGUGUCAAUGCGACGCUGACGCAGGGGCGAUGUGGCCAGACCCCACAUGUCAAGCAUAGCUGGGGGGCCAGGUGAUGACUGUGUGUCAAUGUCCCAUGAGAAGACAGCUGGGGAGGUGGCCUGCUGACUUGGGGGUGCAUGCCCCCACACAUGCGCGCGUGCGUCAAGCACCACUUCCUUGGCUGUGCGACUUGUAAAGCCAGCUUUUCAGGAGCUUUGUUUUGAAACCCAAGUCACUGGUAAAGCUUCUCUGGAGAACUGUGGGCAUGCUCUGACUCAGUAAUGAAACUCGCGUUGACUCCUGUGCUACGCCAUGAGGCGUUCCUGGAAGGGAACCACCAGCGUUCCUCUUACAGACCCAGGAGCUCAAGGAACUCAACCUCCCUUCAUGUUCAGGAUGUUGGCCGGUUGUACGGCUAUUCCGAAGAAGUACAUGUGACUUCUAAUACCAAUGUGUGCACCACUGAAGGCUGAAAUUCCCAAUAAAUCAAUUUUAAUGAAAACCACAUAUAUUGGUGAGAUUAAAGACCACAUAAUAAAAAUAAUUUAAAAAUAUUAAAUAAUAAUAAUAAUAAAAGAAGACCACAGAAAUCAGUUCAUGGCCAAUACCCCUUAAAAGCUUUUAUUUAGCUUGGGCUAGUAAAAUGGGACUGACCAUAUCAAAAUGCUCUGUGCGGUCAAUUUUUCUUUAAUGAUGUCUAUUCUACUUGAACAAUGACCAUUUUUCUGCAAAGUGUAGAAAAGACAAACUGCUUACAAGUGCAUUUAUUGUGGAUACCUACACUGCCUUAUUAGGAUUAAGGUGGGUAAAAUGACUGAGCCAACAAUUACCAGCAAACUAGACAACUAAGAGCUCACAUUGUGAAUUUCUGACUUCCUAUGGCUAAAUCAAACAGAUUUGCAGCAAUUUGCACUGAUUUGCACUGACCGCUGACAAUACAGAUCAGCACUGUGUUUACCGUUCCAGCUGCCUGUCCCAAAAGCAGGUCCCUUUAUAGAUAGGCUUCCUGGCUGUUUGUCUUUUGCCUGUUCUUUACAUAACCAGGCUCUGUUUAACUUCCUGCAGCUGUCAGUCAAUGUGGAGACAACAGCAACAUGUGCAGCCCCUGCCUGUGGACUUUAUUCUGUUUUGCAAAUAAAAGCCUGUUUCUUCCCCAAAGACCUUUGUUCCCUGAGGGCAAAGCUGAUGACCAACAGGAUUUUUCACAUUUGGAUUAUACACAGGCAUGUGCCGGCAAUGAG